GCUGGAGUGGCGGAACUGGCAGACGCACCAGACUCAAAAUCUGGCGCCCUACCCGGGCGUGGGGGUUCGACUCCCCCCUCCAGCA
rnacentral:tRNA from 1 species